GUCGGACAGUCUGUCGCUUGCAUUCUUGUGAUGUAAGAGGAAAGUCCGGGCAACACAGAGCAUUCCGCUUCUUAAUGGGAAGUUGCUCGCGAGAGUAAAUCAGUGCAGAAGAAAACAACCGCCCCUCACGCUCCCUAAGGGCUUCGAGGGGUAAGGGUGAGAAGGUGGGGUAAGAGCCCACCGGCUGAACAGUGACGUCUCAGGCCGUGCACAUCGGAAGUUGAAAGUUCAUGUAAACCGACGCAGUAAGAGUUGCUCGCUCAAAUCUCUAUGGAGAUGGGUCGGAGGGUAGAACGAUAGAGUGGGUCGGCAACGGCUCACCCAGAUAAAUGACAGACGGCUCACCCCGCGUGAGAGACAAAACCCAGCUCAUCGGCCGGCUGCU
rnacentral:RNase_P_RNA from 1 species